UACGUAGGGGGCAAGCGUUGUCCGGAUUUAUUGGGCGUAAAGGGCGCGUAGGCGGUGCGGUAAGUCUGCGGUGAAAUCUCCCGGCUCAACUGGGAGGCUGCCGUGGAAACUGCCGUGCUUGAGUGUGGGAGAGGUGAGUGGAAUUCCCGGUGUAGCGGUGAAAUGCGUAGAUAUCGGGAGGAGCACCUGUGGCGAAAGCGGCUCACUGGACCACAACUGACGCUGAGGCGCGAAAGCUAGGGGAGCAAACAGG
rnacentral:rRNA from 1 species